GCACAAGCGGCGGAGCAUGUGGAUUAAUUCGAUGCAACGCGAAGAACCUUACCUGGGUUUGACAUACACCGGAAAACCGUAGAGAUACGGUCCCCCUUGUGGUCGGUGUACAGGUGGUGCAUGGCUGUCGUCAGCUCGUGUCGUGAGAUGUGGGUUAAGUCCCGCAACGAGCGCAACCCUUGUCUUAUGUUGCCAGCACGUAAUGGUGGGGACUCGUAAGAGACUGCCGGGGUCAACUCGGAGGAAGUGGGGACGACGUCAAGUCAUCAUGCCCCUUAUGUCCAGGGCUUCACACAUGCUACAAUGGCCAGUACAGAGGGCUGCGAGACCGUGAGGUGGAGCGAAUCCCUUAAAGCUGGUCUCAGUUCGGAUCGGGGUCUGCAACUCGACCCCGUGAAGUCGGAGUCGCUAGUAAUCGCAGAUCAGCAACGCUGCGGUGAAUACAUUCCCGGGCCUU
rnacentral:rRNA from 1 species